rnacentral:rRNA from 1 species
GACGAACGCUGGCGGCGUGCUUAACACAUGCAAGUCGAACGGAAAGGCCCCUUCGGGGGUACUCGAGUGGCGAACGGGUGAGUAACACGUGGGUGAUCUGCCCCUGACUUUGGGAUAAGCCUGGGAAACUGGGUCUAAUACCGGAUAUGACCAAGGACUGCAUGGUUUUUGGUGGAAAGCUUUUGCGGUUGGGGAUGGGCCCGCGGCCUAUCAGCUUGUUGGUGGGGUAAUGGCCUACCAAGGCGACGACGGGUAGCCGACCUGAGAGGGUGAUCGGCCACACUGGGACUGAGACACGGCCCAGACUCCUACGGGAGGCAGCAGUGGGGAAUAUUGCACAAUGGGCGCAAGCCUGAUGCAGCGACGCCGCGUGAGGGAUGACGGCCUUCGGGUUGUAAACCUCUUUCACCAGGGACGAAGCUUUUGUGACGGUACCUGGAGAAGAAGCACCGGCCAACUACGUGCCAGCAGCCGCGGUAAAAC